UACGUAGGGUGCGAGCGUUUAAUCGGAAUUACUGGGCGUAAAGCGUGCGCAGGCGGUUUUGUAAGCCAGAUGUGAAAUCCCCGGGCUCAACCUGGGAAUGGCAUUUGGGACUGCAAGGCUGGAGUGCGGCAGAGGAGACUGGAAUUCCUGGUGUAGCAGUGAAAUGCGUAGAUAUCAGGAGGAAUACCGAUGGCGAAGGCAGGUCUCUGGGCUGACACUGACGCUCAUGCACGAAAGCGUGGGGAGCGAA
rnacentral:rRNA from 1 species